rnacentral:lncRNA from 1 species
AGAGGAGACGAGAACUGGAAAAGAAACAGAGAAAAGAGAAAGAGAAACUUCUACUACAGAAACGGGAAAUUGAGUCCAAGUUAUUCGGGGAUCCAGAUGAGUUCCCACUUGCUCACCUCCUGCAGCCAUUCCGGCAGUAUUACCUCCAGGCUGAGCACUCCUUGCCCGCGCUCAUUCAGAUAAGGCAUGAUUGGGAUCAGUACCUGGUACCAUCUGAUCAUCCGAAAGGCAACUCGGUUCCCCAAGGAUGGGUCCUUCCUCCGCUCCCCAGCAACGACAUCUGGGCAACGGCCAUUCAGCUGCAUUAAGAUGCUCCAGGAGUGUGGUCCAGCUGGCAAGCACUGCAGCUCUAGAUAUUAGAGAUGCGGUUGUCUCACGCUCUAGUCUUCUACACAACUUAACUCUGUUUUGAGAGGCUUGGUUCAAUGUGGCCUGCUCAUUUGUUCCAGGUUUGUUAUAUAUUGGUGGGUAAGAACAGGCAGCACACUUGGCUACUGCUUGAAGGUGUUCACUGAGUAGAGUUAGCAGCUACUGCUCCUUAUCUUCCCAUACCACCUGCCCUCCAGCUCCCAGGAGCACCUACAGUUUCCAGUUUCAGUGCAGUGUGGGAGGCUGCUACUGAAGAUGAUGGGGCAGUGGCUGCCAGGAUCACUGAUGGCUUAGAACUGUUGUCCUGUGGAGAGCUUAGAAAACUUGAAGAGUUAGCAGAGCCAGGGUGGCUUGUGCUCUGACAGACAGUGCCUGUUUUCCUCAUGAAAGUGCCAGUGCAAGAGUUGUGAGGGAACUAGUUGUGUGGGGCCUCCAAGAAUAGAAACUUAUUUCCCUGUGGGACUGUAAUCUCAGUCACAUGGUAGGGGCUGGAUAGCUCAAGCUUCUAAAAACAUCCAUGUCAUAAAAGCCGGGAAAAGAGCAAAUAUGAAAGAUAAAUUUUAUUUUUAUAUUCAUUAAUAAGUGCUGUUGUAUUUGGACAUGAUCAGUCAUAUGACAUGUUAUGGUUUUUGUUUUGCCUUAUUCUGGGUUUUGUUAUUUAAUUUCCUAAAAGCUGAAUAAAUACCAUUUUUGCUUUUU